UACGUAGGUGGCAAGCGUUGUCCGGAAUCACUGGGCGUAAAGCGCGCGCAGGCGGCGAUCUACGUCUGGGGUGAAAGCCCGGAGCUCAACUCCGGGACUGCCUUGGAUACGGGAUCGCUUGAGGAUUGGAGAGGCAAGGGGAAUUCCACGUGCAGCGGUGAAAUGCGUAGAUAUGUGGAGGAACACCUGUGGCGAAGGCGCCUUGCUGGCCAAUUUCUGACGCUGAGGCGCGAAAGCGUGGGGAGCAAACAGG
rnacentral:rRNA from 1 species